GAUGAAGAACGUAGCGAAAUGCGAUAAGUAAUGCGAAUUGCAGAAUUUCCGUGAGUCAUCGAAUCUUUGAACGCACAUUGCGCCCCCUGGUAUUCCGGGGGGCAUGCCUGUUCGAGCGUCAUUUCACCACUCAAGCCUCGCUUGGUAUUGGGCAAUGCGGUCCGCCGCCUGCCUCAAAUCGACCGGCUGGGUCUUCUGUCCCCUAAGCGUUGUGGAAACUAUUCGCUAAAGGGUGUUCGGGAGGCUACGCCGUAAAACAACCCCAUUUCUAAGGUUGACCUCGGAUCAGGUAGGGAUACCCGCUGAACUUAAGCAUAUCAAUAAGCGGAGGA
rnacentral:misc_RNA from 1 species